rnacentral:lncRNA from 1 species
UUAGACUCCAAGAUAAUCAUUACCAUCCCCCUUUUACAGAGGCAGAAAUGGACGUCCAAAAAUUUUAAGUACUAUGGUCCCCUCAGUGACUAAUGAAAAGCAAAUGAUGGGAAUGCAGCAAACUCUUCUGAUGCUGACCCUUUCAUGUCUUUGCACAACAAGAAGACAAGUGCCACCGAGGGCUCUGCCCAGUUGAUUUCUGAACAUAACAGAGAUUCUCCACUGUUUGAACGGAUGUCGGCCAUGUUGGAUUAGGACCCACCCUAACGGC